GCAAGUGGCGGAGGUGGAGCGGGGGUUAGAUGUGGUGGUCGGGCGGUGUCCGGAGUGAGUGGUCGUAAAGAGCUCGUAGGGUGCGUGUCGGGUAUACCGGGAAAACUCACAGCUAAGCUGGGAGCUUGCGGUCGGUACGGGCAGGCUCGAGUUCGGUAGGGGAGACUGGAAUUCCUGGUGUAGCGGUGAAAUGCGCAGAUAUCAGGAGGAACACCGGUGGCGAAGGCGGGUCGCUGGGCCGAUACUGACGCUGAGGAGCGAAAGCGUGGGGAGCGAACAGGAUUAGAUACCCGGGUAGUC
rnacentral:rRNA from 1 species